rnacentral:misc_RNA from 1 species
UAUUAUUAUUAUUAUUAUUAUGACAUCUUCAUUAACUUUGAUUCCUUUCACUUCAUGAAAUAAGGUUAGAUCAAGAGACUUUAAGAAUAUAACUUCAGAUUAUUCAUGUAUUUUAAAAUUGCCCUUAUUUUGUCAAUUAAAUUAGUGUUUAGAGAGUAAUCUCAUUUUGAAAAACAGUUGUAAACAGCUUCAAUUAAUAAAACUUUCCAGAUGAAUGCCAGAUCCUUCCCCCAC